AUGGGCCUCGCCUUGUGGACUCGUUCAGACAAUGGGCCGUGUGGUCUGGCCCAAAAUACUGCGCCUCACAUGCCGCAAGAUCUCACGGAGCCAAACCACACCCGCACCAGAGUCGUCCCCACCACGCACGGGAAAACCUCGCAGGCAACCGGCCUCCUCCUCCACCGCCGCCGCCGCCGCCGCCGUCGAAGCAUCAGAAGCAGCAAGAGUAAGAUGUCGUUCCGGGCGCGGGAGAUUUACAAGAAGGUGGUGCGCCGCGUGGGCGGGGAGGGGAAGCUGCCGGCGGAGGUGAUGGACACAGUGAAGAACAUACUCCCGAAUAGCAAGGUCGUCAUGGGCCGGGCCAAGCGCGGCAUCUUCGCCGGCCGCCACAUCCAGUUCGGCAACAAGGUCUCCGAGGACGGCGGCAACAAGUCAAGGCGAAACUGGAAGCCAAACGUUCAGGAGAAACGUCUUUUCAGUUAUAUUCAUGACCGACACAUUAGAGUCAAAGUAACCACUCAUGCACUACGGUGCAUUGACAAAGCUGGUGGGAUCGAUGAAUACCUCCUGAAGACACCUUACAACAAAAUGGAUACUGAGAUGGGAAUAGCCUGGAAGGCAAAGAUUGAGAAGAUGUAUUCAGAGCUAGCUGGGAUGGAAGUUGGCUUCUUCCCUCCUGAGAAAGAGGCUAAGAUAGAGCAGGGUUUCGAGGAGAUUCGAUCGGCCAAGAGAGAGUUCCGCAGCGAAUCAAGAAGGGCUUUGGGUGUGGCAAAGCAGAGUCAGCUAGAAGCAACUAAAGCUGAUGAUGACGAAACAACUGAAGUCGUGGAUACAAAUGAAGAGGCGUCUGAUGUCGCAGAGAAGUCUUAGCUUGGACCUGCGUGCCAUUGUUAAUGAUAAAAAAGGAAGAGAAACAUUGAUGUCCUUGACAAAACAAUGGAAGGUUUUCAUUUCAUAUAAACAGGGGAGAAUAUCUUGCAAGUCAAUGACCCCUUUUUCUCAGAACACUGCAGUGUAUCUUAGGCCUAACUGUCAAGGCUACCAUCUACCCGGAGCACAUCUCGGUGUUGCAAUGACUUGUUAAUUUCGUGGAAGUUUUGUACAAGCACUGAAUUCUUAAGUGUCAGGAUUGAGGUGUUCUCUUCUCAAGUCUUUCUAGCCCAUUCAACUGAAAUGUCGAAAUAAUAUAUUCGUGACAGGAUAAACACUUAUCAGCUGGAGUUGUAGCAUUGGGUAGCUGAUUUCUGUUAGAUCUCAAAUACCUGGCACGUCAUUGUUGUCAUUGGUUUGGAACUUGUAGCCCUCUUUUGGAGAUGUUGGUAGCUGUGGUUCUAGAUUUAAGCCUGUUUAGCUGGUCUUUGCUGUUCCCGUUGAUCAAGCAGUUUGGGAUAUGUCCCGGAUGACU
rnacentral:rRNA from 1 species